ACAGGGUUUCCUUUCGGGGCAUUGGAGACAGGUGGUGCAUGGUUGUCGUCAGCUCGUGUCGUGAGAUGUUGGGUUAAGUCCCGCAACGAGCGCAACCCUUACGGUUAGUUGAUACAUUAGGUUGAUCACUCUAGCCGGACUGCCGUUGACAAAACGGAGGAAGGUGGGGACGACGUCAAAUCAUCAUGCCCCUUAUGACCUGGGCUACACACGUACUACAAUGGCAGUCAUACAGAGGGAAGCAAAGCAGCGAUGCGGAGCAAACCCCUAAAAGCUGUCUCAGUUCAGAUUGCAGGCUGCAACCCGCCUGCAUGAAGUCGGAAUUGCUAGUAAUCGCGGAUCAGCAUGCCGCGGUGAAUACGUUCCCGGGCCUUGUACACACCGCCCGUCACACCAUGAGAGCCGGUAAUACCCGAAGUCCGUAGCCUAACCGCAAGGAGGGCGCGGCCGAAGGUAGGACUGGUAAUUAGGGUGAAGUCGUAACAAGGUAGCCGU
rnacentral:rRNA from 1 species